UGGGGAAUAUUGCACAAUGGGCGAAAGCCUGAUGCAGCAAUGCCGCGUGUGUGAAGAAGGCCUGCGGGUUGUAAAGCACUUUUCGGUAGGGAAGAUAAUGACGGUACCUACAGAAGAAGCACCGGCUAACUCCGUGCCAGCAGCCGCGGUAAUACGGAGGGUGCGAGCGUUAAUCGGAAUUACUGGGCGUAAAGCGCGCGUAGGCGGCUUUGUAAGUCGGAUGUGAAAGCCCCGGGCUUAACCUGGGAAUUGCAUUCGAUACUGCAUAGCUAGAGUAUGGUAGAGGGUAGCGGAAUUCCGGGUGUAGCGGUGAAAUGCGUAGAUAUCCGGAGGAACACCAGUGGCGAAGGCGGCUACCUGGACCAAUACUGACGCUGAGGCGCGAAAGCGUGGGGAGCAAACAGGAUUAGAUACCCGUGUAGUCCCUGAGCGGGCUGGCAAGGCGCAU
rnacentral:rRNA from 1 species